UGGGGAAUAUUGGACAAUGGGCGAAAGCCUGAUCCAGCCAUGCCGCGUGAGUGAAGAAGGCCUUCGGGUUGUAAAGCUCUUUUAGUCGGAAAGAAAGAGUUGCAAUGAAUAAUUGUGAUUUAUGACGGUACCGACAGAAAAAGCACCGGCUAACUACGUGCCAGCAGCCGCGGUAAUACGUAGGGUGCGAGCGUUAAUCGGAAUUACUGGGCGUAAAGGGUGCGCAGGCGGUCUUGCAAGUCAGAUGUGAAAGCCCCGGGAUUAACCUGGGAAUUGCGUUUGAAACUACAAGGCUAGAGUGCAGCAGAGGGGAGUGGAAUUCCAUGUGUAGCAGUGAAAUGCGUAGAGAUGUGGAAGAACACCGAUGGCGAAGGCAGCUCCCUGGGUUGACACUGACGCUCAUGCACGAAAGCGUGGGGAGCAAACA
rnacentral:rRNA from 1 species